AGUGAACGCUGGCGGUAGGCCUAACACAUGCAAGUCGAACGGCAGCACAGUAAGAGCUUGCUCUUACGGGUGGCGAGUGGCGGACGGGUGAGGAAUACAUCGGAAUCUACUUUUUCGUGGGGGAUAACGUAGGGAAACUUACGCUAAUACCGCAUACGACCUACGGGUGAAAGCAGGAGAUCUUCGGACCUUGCGCGAUUGAAUGAGCUGAUGUCGGAUUAGCUAGUUGGCGGGGUAAAGGCCCACCAAGGCGACGAUCCGUAGCUGGUCUGAGAGGAUGAUCAGCCACACUGGAACUGAGACACGGUCCAGACUCCUACGGGAGGCAGCAGUAGGGAAUAUUGGGCAAUGGGCGCAAGCCUGAUCCAGCCAUACCGCGUGGGUGAAGAAGGCCUUCGGGUUGUAAAGCCCUUUUGUUGGGAAAGAAAAGCAGCAGGUUAAUACCCCGCUGUUCUGACGGUACCCAAAGAAUAAGCACCGGCUAACUUCGUG
rnacentral:rRNA from 1 species